rnacentral:lncRNA from 1 species
UAGCAGAGAGGUUUGACUGAACAGAGACCUUAGUAAAUCAAUGGCUUGCAGACUCAUAACAAAAUUAUAUCAGUCAGUGGCAAACGACAAGCUGCAUCUGGUGUCAGGCUUUAUAGUGGUAAGUGAGUUGAUGUACUUUCAUUGUACAGCUGCAUCGAGAACUAAGUACUUCCUAGAGUGUUCCAAAAAUUAGAGAUCAGGAAGGGGAGAGGUAGCAAGU